CAGAAAAGUUAAAAUCAAUCAAGUUAGGGACUCCAGCAAUGACAUUUCUGCAUCCAUGGGGCACUCCUAUAGUCAAGGAGAAAACAAUGAAAUUUCAAUAGGCACUACCUAUAGUAAGCGUGAAAGCAAUGCCAUAUCUUUGGGUCCAACUUAUAAUAAUGGGGAGGCGAAUACCAUUUCAGUUGGUGCCGACUUCAGUAAGGCAGAUGGCAAUUUCAUUUCAAUGGGCCACACCUUCAACAAGGGGGGUGAAAAUUUCAUAUCGAUGAGACACAAUUAUAACAAGGGAGAUGACAAUAUCUUAUCAAUGGGUCAGACCUUUGACAAGGGGGACGCCAACUUUAUCACAAUGGGUCAAUCAUAUGAAAAGGAAGAUAGCAAUGUCAUUUCAAUGGCUCAUUCCUUAUUUCAUUUCAAUGGGACCCACCUAUGAUAAAGCAAAUGAGAAUUUCAUUUCUAUGGGUCCCACUCCCUCCUAUAGCAAGGGAGAUGAUAGUAUCAUAUCCAUUGGUUCCAGCUAUGACAAGGCAGAUUCCAUCAUAACUUCCAUCUGUUCUGCCCAGGACAAAGAAGAUUCCAAUAUUCUAUCCAUGGAUCACAACUUUAACAAAGGUGAGAACAAUACCAUAUCUUUUGGAGGCUUUCAUGA
rnacentral:misc_RNA from 1 species